AAGAAAGUAAUUUAAAGGUAAAAUCUAAGGCUUCAAACCUUAGCUUAUGGGUCACCAUCUUUCUUG
rnacentral:tRNA from 1 species